rnacentral:rRNA from 1 species
CACGUAGGCACCAAGCGUUGUCCGGAUUUAUUGGGCGUAAAGAGCUCGUAGGCGGUUCAGUUAGUCGGGUGUGAAAACUCUGGGCUUAACCCGGAGACGCCACCCGAUACUGCUGAACUUGAGUACGGUAGGGGAGCGGGGAAUUCCUGGUGUAGCGGUGAAAUGCGCAGAUAUCAGGAGGAACACCGGUGGCGAAGGCGCCGCUCUGGGCCGAAACUGACGCUGAGGAGCGAAAGCGUGGGUAGCAAACAGG